rnacentral:lncRNA from 1 species
GCCACCAUUCAUUCUCUGCCUUUUAGGGUUUCUAUUCCCUGUAAGAAAUAAAGGUUGUGCCUAGUAUGAAGGAGGUGUGCGGCUCAUCCUAUCCUUCACCAUUGGAGCUCAUUCUAUGAAGGCUCACCUACCCUUCCCUUUCUGGUUCUUCGAGGAUAAUGAUUCUGUAUUCCCUUUUAAAUGCUUGAUUUUGUAUACCCU